CAUUUGGGGGUUAGAUCCUGCUCUCUUCGCAAGAAGAGGGUUUCCAUACACACCGUGAACUGUGGCUUCGGCCAUCACAAACUGUUAGUAAUGAAUGUAAUAUCAUAACAAAAACAAAACUUUUAACAACGGAUCUCUUGGCUCUCGCAUCGAUGAAGAACGCAGCGAAAUGCGAUAAGUAAUGUGAAUUGCAGAAUUCAGUGAAUCAUCGAAUCUUUGAACGCACCUUGCGCCCUUUGGUAUUCCGAAGGGCAUGCCUGUUUGAGUGUCAUGAAACCUCACCCCACUUGGGUUUUUGCCUGAGCGGUGGUGUAUUGGGUGUUGCCUUGCUAAAGGCUCGCCUUAAAGACAUAAGCACCUUGGAUGUAAUACGUUUCAUCCUUCUGGGUGGCUGAUAACCCCACAUAUUCAUGAUCUGGCCUCAAAUCAGGUAGGGCUACCCGCUGAACUUAAGCAUAUCAAUAAGCGGAGGAAAAA
rnacentral:rRNA from 1 species